rnacentral:rRNA from 1 species
CAAUAGCGUAUAUUAAAGUUGUUGCAGUUAAAAAGCUCGUAGUUGGAUUUCUGGUGGGAGCGAUCGGUCUGGCGCUUAGCGCGAGUACUUGCAUCGUCUCCGGCCAUCCUUGGGGAGAGUCUGUCUGGCAUUAGGUUGUCGGGCAGAGGAUCCUCAUCGUUUACUGUGAAAAAAUUAGAGUGUUCAAAGCAGGCUUAUGCCGUUGAAUAUAUUAGCAUGGAAUAAUAAGAUAGGACUUUGGUACUAUUUUGUUGGUUUGCGCACCAAAGUAAUGAUUAAUAGGGACAGUUGGGGGUAUUCGUAUUCCGUUGUCAGAGGUGAAAUUCUUGGAUUUACGGAAGACGAACAUCUGCGAAAGCAUUUGCCAAGGAUGUUUUCAUUG